rnacentral:tRNA from 1 species
CAUUAAGAAGCUAUAGGACAAGCGACAGCCUUUUAAGCUGUACACAGGUGACUCCGCCCACCCUUAAUGAC